AAAGUCCGCCAAGCGCAUUUUUGAUCGUUGGUGGCGUCCAAGAAUCAUCGGAACCAUCAUCAUGAUCUUCCCUAAAAUGGCAUUCGCCGGAAUGAUAUGUAACAUGAUACUAAUAAAUUCUCACACAUCAGAAGCGUUCG
rnacentral:ribozyme from 1 species